GGGGGCGACCUAGACUCGACGGGGAUACGGUUUCACAGGAUGCGUGCCGAGGACCAUGACCUCGACAAAAAAUGGAACACCACUAACUGCCGAUACGCAGUUCGCUCUCGCAGCCUAAGAACCUGUGAGCGUCCACCCUGGUCAGCCUGCGGGCCGAGGACCGGAUGUCAUUUAAGCAGGCUGGCUUCUGACGGCUACCUCGAACGUCAGCGGCGAGAUUUUUCGGGGCGGGUGCCCGGCGGUUUUUCCGCCUCUUCACGCCGGGUACGACACAACAGAGGUGGAUACGCAUCGUAGAUUCCUGUGUGCAAGUAUUUUCGGACGCGGGUGCGAAUCCCGCCGCCUCCACCA
rnacentral:tmRNA from 1 species